CGAAAACGAAAAAUCCGAAUCAGUUAUCACUUCACAUUACUUUCAUUGUUGAAGAGAAUUUGAUGAUACUCUCUUCCUAAUAUUUUGUUAUCGCAGAAACAGCAAUGGAUUUGGGUAUUUGAAUGAAAACUGAAAUUGUUUUGUAAUGGAAGAACUUGCCAUGGCUGCCAUAGCCCAGGAAGGCUUUGUUGGCUUCGUUCAAGAUCUGAUCACCAUGGAUCAAUAACUUGUUGGAAUACCAAGUCAAGAAGAACUUCCCUUUUUCACUAAGCUGUUGGGCAGGUCUCACGAGGAUCAAACAAUCCAGAAAUUGAUGGUACCUUCUUUAACCUUUUUGGUCGACAUUGUGUUUGUUUUGUAUUUUAGUAUGUGAUCGUUAAUAAAUCUCGGUACGACUUUGUUUUAGUUUCA